rnacentral:rRNA from 2 species
UGGGGAAUUUUGGACAAUGGGGGAAACCCUGAUCCAGCCAUCCCGCGUGUGCGAUGAAGGCCUUCGGGUUGUAAAGCACUUUUGGCAGGAAAGAAACGUCAUGGGCUAAUACCCCGUGAAACUGACGGUACCUGCAGAAUAAGCACCGGCUAACUACGUGCCAGCAGCCGCGGUAAUACGUAGGGUGCAAGCGUUAAUCGGAAUUACUGGGCGUAAAGCGUGCGCAGGCGGUUCGGAAAGAAAGAUGUGAAAUCCCAGAGCUUAACUUUGGAACUGCAUUUUUAACUACCGAGCUAGAGUGUGUCAGAGGGAGGUGGAAUUCCGCGUGUAGCAGUGAAAUGCGUAGAUAUGCGGAGGAACACCGAUGGCGAAGGCAGCCUCCUGGGAUAACACUGACGCUCAUGCACGAAAGCGUGGGGAGCAAACAGG